rnacentral:rRNA from 1 species
GUGGGGAAUUUUGGACAAUGGGCGCAAGCCUGAUCCAGCCAUGCCGCGUGCAGGAUGAAGGCCUUCGGGUUGUAAACUGCUUUUGUACGGAACGAAAAGGUCUGCCUUAAUACGGCGGGCUCAUGACGGUACCGUAAGAAUAAGCACCGGCUAACUACGUGCCAGCAGCCGCGGUAAUACGUAGGGUGCAAGCGUUAAUCGGAAUUACUGGGCGUAAAGCGUGCGCAGGCGGUAAUGUAAGACAGAUGUGAAAUCCCCGGGCUCAACCUGGGAACUGCAUUUGUGACUGCAUUGCUGGAGUGCGGCAGAGGGGGAUGGAAUUCCGCGUGUAGCAGUGAAAUGCGUAGAUAUGCGGAGGAACACCGAUGGCGAAGGCAAUCCCCUGGGCCUGCACUGACGCUCAUGCACGAAAGCGUGGGGAGCAAACAGG